UACGGAGGGUGCAAGCGUUAUCCGGAUUCACUGGGUUUAAAGGGUGCGUAGGUGGUUGUCUAAGUCUGGUUUGAAAGUAGGUCGCUUAACGAUCUAAUGUGGCUGGAAACUGGGGAACUUGAAUGAGUUGGCGGUAGCCGGAACGGGUCAUGUAGCGGUGAAAUGCAUAGAUAUGACCCAGAACACCGAUUGCGAAGGCAGGCUACUACGACUUGAUUGACACUGAGGCACGAGAGCAUGGGGAGCGAACAGG
rnacentral:rRNA from 1 species